rnacentral:rRNA from 1 species
GAUGAACGCUGGCGGCGUGCCUAGUACAUGCAAGUCGAGCGAACAGACGAGGAGCUUGCUCCUCUGACGUUAGCGGCGGACGGGUGAGUAACACGUGGAUAACCUACCUAUAAGACUGGGAUAACUUCGGGAAACCGGAGCUAAUACCGGAUAAUAUAUUGAACCGCAUGGUUCAAUAGUGAAAGACGGUUUUGCUGUCACUUAUAGAUGGAUCCGCGCCGCAUUAGCUAGUUGGUAAGGUAACGGCUUACCAAGGCAACGAUGCGUAGCCGACCUGAGAGGGUGAUCGGCCACACUGGAACUGAGACACGGUCCAGACUCCUACGGGAGGCAGCAGUAGGGAACCUUCCGCAAUGGGCGAAAGCUUGACGGAGCAACGCCGCGUGAGUGAUGAAGGUCUUCGGAUCGUAAAACUCUGUUAUUAGGGAAGAACAAAUGUGUAAGUAACUAUGCACGUCUUGACGGUACCUAAUCAGAAAGCCACGGCUAACUACGUG